UUGCAGAGUGCAUCGGCACGAUUACAUCACUCUGCAGAGUAAAUUAUGAGACGUGUAAAUUAUGACGUGCCCAUAAGUGAUCAUAGGCCUUGAUGAAUAUCACGAGAUUGAGCUCGAAACACUAAGCCAUGUAAUGUAAUUUUCGUGGUAUGCGUGUACCUCGCUCCCGCUGCGUGAGCCGAAUCCCCUUUGCUGCCCGUUUGUCAGCUAGCAUCAGACCUAUCUUCUGUAACCACAGCAUCUCCUAU
rnacentral:lncRNA from 1 species